ACAAAUUCAUUAUACUCCCUGCACAUAGUGUUAUAUGCUUAUGAUUUUGGCAUUUAUAAUUAUUAUUAAUUUAUUUUUUUUGUUUCAAAAUAUUCUGGUACUAGCAAGGAGUUCAGAGUGUUUGGCUGAUUACAUGCGGAGUUUAAUAAACCUUUUGGAAAAUGCUUUCCAGACACCUUUUUUUCAGUGAUUAUUGUGACACUUCAGAUUAAGUUAAUGACUGGUGGGAUUGCUAAAAUCUAAGAAUCUACGUAAAAGUAAGUAAACUAAACACUUGAGAAUAUUUAUGUAAUUAUUUUUACACAAAACAGCAUGUGUAAACACAUUCUAUAAGCUAAAUAUUGCAUAUUGUGUAAAAUUAAAGCUUUUAUCUUCUAACACAUUUCAGGCACUGCAUUCAACCUUCACUAGAUGAUGACUUCAAGGAAACACAUUUCUGGACAAAAACAACACUAAAGUUCAUCAGGAAACAAUGGAAAGAGAUCAGGAUUGCAACUUUGGUUGCUGCAAUAACGAGUUUGAACACAAGGACUCUCUUUUCCUGACAAGUCUCUAUUUGGAUAAGAGACCUUUCAAGUAUAAAUUUGGAUGGGCAAUUCGGUGCUUCCAACUUUGCAGAAACGGGGUGUGGCCAGGCUCUAAGCUUCA